ensembl:lncRNA
CGGUCUGGCUCUCCCGGGCAGGCGCCUCAGGAAACUUCCCCGGCUCCGAUCGCUGCGCUCCACCUUUUAUUCUAAUGGGCUCCGCAUCGCCAUAGGAACCCGAGCCCGCCCGGGCGGCAGCGAGCGCCGCCGCUCCCGGGGCCGGGCACGGCCGGGGAUGGAUGCGGGAGCCCGGGGCAGCCGCCAGCCCUGGAGAGCCGGAGCCCAGCUCGGUGACGGGGCCCUGUGGGCACAGCCUGGCCCUGCUCCUGUCCCCACGCAGCUGCAGCCAGGAGCUCUGGACUCACCCACGAGCCGAUCCCGAGGGUUUCCCCAUGGAAUAGGAGCUUUUCCAGGUGCCUGGGCACACGAGAAGCUGAAGUUGGUCGCCCCGGGGCACCCGAACCCGCCGUGCCCUGGAGCCCCCGGCCUCUGCCAUGAAUGAUGCAUCCACCAUGGAUUAUGAACUGCUCUCCCCGUCCCUGGUGGAGCACCCCGCCGGCGCCGCGGGCAUGGAUGCCGAGCAGAAAACUGUCUUUGCCUUCGUCAUCUUCCUCCUGGUGUUCCUGGUGAUGCUGAUGGUGCGCUGCUUCCGCAUCCUGCUGGACCCCUACAGCCGCAUGCCCGCCUCCUCCUGGACGGACCACAAGGAGGGCUUGGAGCGGGGCCAGUUCGACUACGCCCUGGUGUGAGGGGAGCCCGGGCCGAGCUCCAGCCCCGCUGCCCCUCCAUCCAUCCAUCCAUCCAUCCAUCCAUCCAUCCAUCCAUCCAUCCAUCCAUCCAUCCAUCCAUCCAUCCCUCCCUCCCUCCCUCCCUCCCUCCCUCUGCAGGGAUGCUCCAGGCCGGGGGGCGAGCAGGGGGUCCGGCCCCAGGGAGGUUUUCUAGGCGUUUCUCUCUUUUCUAAGCACUUUUCUCUCGGCAGCCCGCGGGACGCUGGGGGUGGGACAGGGGGGCUGGACGGGGACCCCGGUGCCCCCCGUGCCCCCGGGCACCGCGGACGGGGCAUGGCGGGACCUGCCCUCGGCCCGCGGGGCCCCUGGGCUGGGCUGGGCUCUGCCCGGUGCCAGGCCCGAGCUUUGACCCCCGCUGCCCCCCGUGAGUGCCCCCCGGCAGUGCCCCCGUGGUCCAGUGCGUGUCCGUGUGUCCUGUAGCUGAGCUGUGUCCGUCAGGGGUUUCUCGGCACCGGCCCCCAGUGCUGGCUUUGUUCCUCCUCUGCGCCACUCCCGAGCCCCCCCAAAAGGGAGGGGAGGCUGGAGACCCCUCUGUGCAGCCCCCCUUGGGCUCCAGUCCUGUCCGUGCCCAGCUGGUGACAAUGGAGCCAGGGGCACUCCUGGCCUGGGGACACCAGGACGGGUCAGGGGUCCCCAAAACACCCGGGAGAGGCUCCUGGGCCAUCCCUGCCGGGGUGUCCGGCCCUCCCCGGGCUCUCCAGGGCUCUGCAAGUGGCCGAGGGGCUGCCAAGGGCCGUGGUGGGCAGCGGGAGGGUCCUGCCAAGGGAUUUGGGCCCGGUGGGGAGGGAGAACCUCGCCCCCCUCAAUGGAAAUGAAGGGAUUUGGAAAUGAAGGGAUUUGGAAAUAAAGCAGCACCGUGCCGACCCCA